rnacentral:rRNA from 1 species
AGAGUUUGAUCCUGGCUCAGAAUCAACGCUGGCGGCGUGCCUAACACAUGCAAGUCGAACGCGAAAGCCCCGCAAGGGGUAAGUAGAGUGGCAAACGGGUGAGUAACACGUGGGUGACCUGCCUUCGAGUGGGGGAUAACGUCCCGAAAGGGACGCUAAUACCGCAUGACAUCCUGCCUUUGAAAAGGCGGAGAUCAAAGCUGGGGAUCGCAAGACCUAGCGCUUGAAGAGGGGCCCGCGCCUGAUUAGCUAGUUGGUGGGGUAACGGCUCACCAAGGCGACGAUCAGUAUCCGGCCUGAGAGGGCGGACGGACACACUGGGACUGAGACACGGCCCAGACUCCUACGGGAGGCAGCAGUGGGGAAUUGUUCGCAAUGGGCGCAAGCCUGAAGCAGCAACGCCGCGUGAGGGAUGAAGGCCUUCGGGUUGUAAACCUCUUUUAUCAGGGACGAUUAUGACGGUACCUGAUGAAUAAGCCACGGCUAACUACGUGCCAGCAGCCGCGGUAAUACGUAGGUGGCAAGCGUUGUCCGGAAUCACUGGGCGUAAAGGGCGCGUAGGCGGCCUGCUAAGUCGAACGUGAAAUCCCCGGGCUCAACCCGGGAACUGCGUUCGAUACUGGUUGGCUUGAAUUCGGGAGAGGGAUGCGGAAUUCCAGGUGUAGCGGUGAAAUGCGUAGAUAUCUGGAGGAACACCGGUGGCGAAGGCGGCAUCCUGGACCGGCAUUGACGCUGAGGCGCGAAAGCCAGGGGAGCAAACGGGAUUAGAUACCCCGGUAGUCCUGGCCCUAAACGAUGAAUGCUUGGUGUAGCGGGUAUCGAUCCCUGCUGUGCCGAAGCUAACGCAUUAAGCAUUCCGCCUGGGGAGUACGGUCGCAAGGCUGAAACUUAAAGGAAUUGACGG